AACGCACAUUGCGCCCCCUGGUAUUCCGGGGGGCAUGCCUGUUCGAGCGUCAUUUCACCACUCAAGCCUCGCUUGGUAUUGGGCAACGCGGUCCGCCGCGUGCCUCAAAUCGACCGGCUGGGUCUUCUGUCCCCUAAGCGUUGUGGAAACUAUUCGCUAAAGGGUGUUCGGGAGGCUACGCCGUAAAACAACCCAAUUUCUAAGGUUGACCUCGGAUCAGGUAGGGAUACCCGCUGAACUUAA
rnacentral:misc_RNA from 1 species